rnacentral:rRNA from 1 species
UGCAAGUCGAGCGCACCUUCGGGUGAGCGGCGGACGGGUGAGUAUCGCGUGGGAACGUGCCCUUCUCUACGGAAUAGUCCUGGGAAACUGGGGGUAAUACCGUAUACGCCCUUUUGGGGAAAGAUUUAUCGGAGAAGGAUCGGCCCGCGUUGGAUUAGGUAGUUGGUGGGGUAAUGGCUCACCAAGCCGACGAUCCAUAGCUGGUUUGAGAGGAUGAUCAGCCACACUGGGACUGAGACACGGCCCAGACUCCUACGGGAGGCAGCAGUGGGGAAUCUUAGACAAUGGGGGCAACCCUGAUCUAGCCAUGCCGCGUGAGUGAUGAAGGCCUUAGGGUUGUAAAGCUCUUUCAGCUGUGAAGAUAAUGACGGUAGCAGCAGAAGAAGUCCCGGCUAACUCCGUGCCAGCAGCCGCGGUAAUACGGAGGGGACUAGCGUUGUUCGGAAUUACUGGGCGUAAAGCGCACGUAGGCGGAUCAGAAAGUUGGGGGUGAAAUCCCGGGGCUCAACCCCGGAACUGCCUUCAAAACUAUUGGUCUGGAGUUCGAGAGAGGUGAGUGGAAUUCCGAGUGUAGAGGUGAAAUUCGUAGAUAUUCGGAGGAACACCAGUGGCGAAGGCGGCUCACUGGCUCGAUACUGACGCUGAGGUGCGAAAGCGUGGGGGA